CGAUGUGAGACUGAUCUGGCUGCAACAUCUGUCGCCCCAUUGAUUGCCAGGGUUGAUUCGGUUGAUCUGGCUGGUUAGGCGGGUGUCCCCUUCCUCCUUCACCACUCCAUAUAUGUCCCUCCCAAAGCUGCAUGCUCAGUCAAAGAGGAUGACCUUCCCAGAUAGAGGAAGACCAUUCUUUGGUCAAGGGUAUACAAGUACCUGUGUUCCCAUGCUAGAACCUCCAAACAAACUCUCAAGGUCCAUAAGUCACUCCUUCGCUGAAGUCAGGGGUCUUGACAUCAAGAUAUUUGGAGCCCGCAGUCUUGGAGACCUCCAGUCACU
rfam:Felis catus isolate Cinnamon breed Abyssinian chromosome X, whole genome shotgun sequence.